GGAGGGAGAACGUCCAAAAAGAGAGAGAAGCCCUAAGAGAGCACAUGCCCAAAAGAGAGGGGACGCCCACACCAAAAGUAUUCUCCACACCAAGCCUAGGAUUGAUUCCUUCUUGUCACUUCUCCACACCCUUCCUUAUAUAGGCAAGGGGUCCUGGAUCAAAUCAAACUCUUUUAGGUGCAAGGAUUAGGAGACUCUAUGUUUGGAUCAAAUCCAAACUCAAUAAAGCAUAAGGAUUCCUAAUGCGAGUAGGAGAAGCGCCUCCUUUCAUUAUGGUGCACGUCCAAAAGGAGG
rnacentral:lncRNA from 1 species